GAAAUAAACAUCUUAAGCUUCUAACUUAAACUUUAGCAGAAUCUCUGUUAUUAUUUCU
rnacentral:tRNA from 1 species